rnacentral:rRNA from 1 species
CCUACGGGUGGCAGCAGUAGGGAAUUUUGCUCAAUGGGGGAAACCCUGAAGGAGCAACGCCGCGUGAAGGACGAAGGUUUUAGGAUUGUAAACUCCUUUUGUGAGAGAAGAUAAUGACGGUAUCUCACGAAUAACCACCGGCUAACUCCGUGCCAGCAGCCGCGGUAAUACGGAGGGUGCGAGCGUUCCUCGGAAUCACUGGGCGUAAAGGGUGCGCAGGCGGGCUUGUAAGUCAGAUGUGAAAUCCUGUAGCUUAACUACAGAACUGCAUUUGAAACUAUGAGUUUAGAGUGUGGGAGAGGUAGGUGAAAUUCUUGGUGAACGGGUAAAAGCCGUAGAUAUCAAGAGGAAUACUCAGUGCGAGGGCGACCUACUGGAACAUUACUGACGCUCAUGCACGAAAGCGUGGGGAGCAAACAGGAUUAGAUACCCGAGUAGUC